ensembl:lncRNA
UGUGUAUGUAGCAGGAUAGAGGUGCUAUCCAUGUUAGUCACGGUACAAGUACCACUAGUGGCCGUCAUGAUGUGGGCGGUAUAAAAGCAGCCGUCCUCCACCUGCCUCUUCCUCUUUUGCGCUCCUGUCACUUGUGCGUCACUUCCGGGCCAAAAGGUGGUCUGGUCCGAUAGGGCGACUAUUUGUUGCUGCUUCAGGGUUUUUGUGCGAGCUGUGGUGUAAGUUCUUGUAAACGCUGAUGACGGCCGGAGUCCUCUCUCCCUCCCUCCUCCUGUGUGAACGGGAGUGUGUGUGUGCCCGUGUGUGUGCCCGUGUUUGGUCGUAAACAGGACCAACUGCAAUCAGCUCAUUGGGGUCGCUGCUGCUUUCCCAGGCUGAUAUUGUCUUUCCACGCUACUCCGCUUCACUGUUGCUGCACGCCGCGUUGUUUACUUCACGUGCUUUGCUGGCUGAUAUUGCCUUUCCACGCUACUCCGCUUCACUGUUGCUGCACGCCGCGUUGUUUACUUCACGUGCUUUGCCAGGCUGAUAUUGUCUUUCCACGCUACUCCGCUUCACUGUUGCUGCACGCCGCGUUGUUUACUUCACGUGCUUUGCUGGCUGAUAUUGCCUUUCCACGCUACUCCGCUUCACUGUUGCUGCACGCCGCGUUGUUUACUUCACGUGCUUUGCUGGCUGAUAUUGCCUUUCCACGCUACUCCGCUUCACUGCUGCUGCACGCCGCGUGGUUUACUUCACGUGUUACACCACCGGCCGGCACCUCGUGCCUACUGCUGCCUGUCGCUGCGGCGCACCCCCCUCCCGGGUAGUGCUACCAAGGGUGCUCAUCCAGUGUGUCUUUUAACCGGGGUUGCCCCCCCCAUCCGUGUGUGCAUGAGUGUUAAUGUGUGUUCUAAUUAUUUGUAUUGUUUGUUUUCUUUUGAUUUGAUUACUCAUUUAGUUUCGCGUUUAUCUCAACUAUUUUGUGUGUAUUGUUUGUUUUCUUUUGAUUUGAUUACCCAUUUAGUUUUGCAUUUAUCUCAACUAUUUUGUGUGUAUUGUUUGUUUUCUUUUGAUUUGAUUACUCAUUUAGUUUUGCGCUUAUCUCAACUAUUUUGUGCCUAUUGUUUGUUUUCCUUUUGGUUGCAUGCUGAAGAUUUUGAAUUGAAAAGGAAAGAAGUUAUUUAAUAAAUUGUAUUUUUCUAUGACAUUUAAACUACGUCUCAUGCCUUCUAAACGAGUGGACUUACCUGUGUGCUUUGCACUUUACAUCAAUUCCCUGAGGUGAAAUUCCCAGGGUGGCGUUGUCGGU